CCUUCUUUCUCCCCGAUCCCUUCCUCCCUUCUCUGAUCUCGGUGAACAACGGCGACGGAUCUCGAUCGGUGGAUUUCGCCGGCUGUCGGGAGGGAACCAAGUGCAUCGGCGUUGGAUCAGGCCAGCAUCGAUUGUUUGGAGGAGGUGGUUCUUUCUGGGAAGCAGAGACUGGUAUUUUGGUCCCGGCCACCACAGCUCUGUUGGAUCGAUCUCUUCUUCGUAUCAGUGAUCAUCUCCGGUGAUUGAAGGGUGCAGAGAGGAUGCGAUGUGCUUAUUUUAGAUACUGGAUUGGGAAGUGCAGAGAAUCAAGCAAGGGUCAAGGAGUUGCUUCAUGUGGAGGAAUCAAAACUAGAGGAGGAUGAGGGAAAUACCACUCCAGCAGUGAGAUGGGUUCGAGAUGAUAAAUAUGAUUGCAUCCGAUUAAAGCAUUGCAAGGUUGUGACAAAAAUUGAUUGGCAUCGGAAAGGAGACUAUUUCACUACUGUCGUUCCUAGUGAUAUCCUAAUUAUGAAUUUUAGUUGUACUUAUUUUUAGUCAUUCCUAGUGCCUAUUUUAUAUCUCAGUUUUGUUUCUUUCUUUUUUCUAAUACACACUGACAAAUUGGAAAUAUAUAAAAAUCAUGACAUUAUACCUAGUUACCUAACCUUUGAGGCUGGAAUCAGGAUGAAACCUAAAGUGCCCUGAAAAGUUUAGGCAUACCAAAUUCUCUCAGUUUAAUGACAGAGGUGUUUUAGAUUGUAAAUUUCAUCCGAGGCAGCCAUGGCUAUUCACAGCUGGAGCAGAUUCUGUCAUUAAACUGUAUUGCCACUAAUGAUAGAUUCUCCAGGAAACUUUGAAGAAUCUCCUCGAGUCAAGAUACCUUCAAGAUAUCAAACUCUACACCUUUUAUAUGGAGCUAGAUUUGCAAAAGCCAUAUCUAACUCGAGGAAGUGACUUAUUGACAUGGGAGAGAACUUAUUGGUAACCAAGGACUUUGUGAAGAUAGCAAAUUUUGGCCUUGCUCGUGAAGUUCAUUCGAAGCCACCAUUCACAGAAUAGGUUUCAACACGCUGUUUACAAAUCUCAAGUACUCCAGAGUUGAAAUUGAUGA